GUGAGCGUGAGAUUCAAAGGACCAUGCUUGAACUACUGAACCAAUUGGAUGGGUUUGACUCAAGGGGAGAUGUUAAAGUAAUCCUUGCUACCAAUAGAAUUGAAAGCCUUGAUCCUGCCCUUUUACGACCUGGAAGAAUAGAUAGAAAAAUUGAAUUUCCCCUUCCAGAUAUAAAAACAAGACGACGCAUUUUUCAGAUUCAUACAUCAAGGAUGACACUAGCUGACGAUGUGAACUUGGAAGAGUUUGUAAUGACCAAAGACGAAUUUUCUGGGGCUGAUAUCAAAGCAAUUUGCACAGAAGCCGGCUUGCUUGCUCUAAGAGAACGUAGAAUGAAGGUGACUCAUGCAGACUUUAAGAAAGCAAAGGAGAAGGUUAUGUUCAAAAAGAAAGAGGGUGUUCCAGAAGGACUUUACAUGUAAUGGAGGUCGGGACACUGAUGCAAAAAAUGUACACAUCUCUAUUGCACGGCCUUGUUUUAUUCUUCAUUUUUUCCCCAUUUAAUGUGGAACACUGGUGAUUUAGCACCCAGUUACCUGGUUGAGUCAUUUCUUUUAGAUUUAAUGCUUUAUACAUGACAAUUCGUUCGAGAUGAAUCGUG
rnacentral:misc_RNA from 1 species